UGAAGCUAGCUCAUUCAUUCAGUGAACAAACAUUUACCGAGUGCCUACGCUGUGCCAGGCACUGGGACAGAGGAUCAAAAGCCGUUUCUGGCCGCAUGGAGCUCACCGGAGAGCAAGCAGAGGGAGAAACAUUCAACCCAGCAGGCCCUCGCAGUGGAGGGGCGGGGUGAGGUGCGGUUCGACUCUCCACUACCGUCUCGGAGAACACAGCCGAAGAGAAAGGCCACCCGGAACGGAAUUUCCUCCGUCUCUUUUGUCCCGUUCUCACCCUCCCCACCCCCGGUUCCCCAAACCUGGACACAACUCUUAGUCUACUCCCCCCACCCCAGCUCAUCCCGAUCCCAGCUCUGCGUAGCCGGAGACCCCGAAGGGGAGGCGUGUCUGACCCCUCUCAACAGCGCCCGAACGCUAGGGCCGGGUCCAGGACGCGGUUUGAAGGCCCCAGCCCCCGCAGCGGGCGGGCCCCGGACCCCCGCCCGCGUCCCUCAGCGGAGACGAGGACCCCCACCCCGGACUCCCUGCGGGCUGCCUCACAACUCGGGCAAACAAAACGGCGCACGUCUGCGGCCCCGGCGCAGUGCGCGCCAACUCGCCCAGGACCCCUGCGGGAGGAGGGGGCGCAUUUGCGCGGCGGGAACCCGGCGGGACCCCGCAGCACAGGUGCGAGGGCGGCGGCGCCCCGGCCACUCACUCGAUGAAGUAGCUGGCGCCCUCCUCCGUGAAGCCCUCUUCCCAGCCGCGGGGCAGGUCUGCGGGAACCGGAGAAAAGUUAAGGUCAAACUUGGCCUCCCAGAGGCGCCCCGCCCGGGCACCCCACCCCGUCACCCAGCGCCCACCUGAGCGGAUCAUGUGGCCGGAGUUGACGGGCUCUCCGGUGCGCGGGUGCAGCCAGGUCGUGCAGCGGAGCUGGUCACUGCGGAGAGAGGUGCACCUGUUAGCGCCGCCGCCACCCCGGGGGCCCCGCCCGGCCCCGCGCACCGCCGGGCCCCUCGCCCCGCCCGCGGCCCCGAGUUCCCGCGCCGCACUUGAUGAAGAAGACGCGGCCAUCGCGACACACGCCGUAAGACCAGUGCUCAGAAAUGAAGUGCUGAUACACGCUACGUCAUGAACCCCGAAGACAUGAUGCUAAGUGAAAGCCAGACAUAAAAGGUCACAUGCUGAUUGAUUCCAUUUGUAAGAAAUACCCAGAGUAAGUGAACCCACAGCAAUAGAAGUAGACGGGUGGUUUGCCAGAGGUGGAGGGAGGGAAGAAUGAGGAGUAAAUGCUUUAUGACUAUGGGGUUUUAUUUUGAGGUGAUGAAAAUAUUUUGUAAUUGAGGUGGUGGUUUUACAAUAUUAUCAGUAUACUAAAUGCCACUUAAUUCCUUGGA